UACGUAGGUGGCAAGCGUUGUCCGGAUUUACUGGGCGUAAAGAGCGCGCAGGCGGUCGUUCAAGUCGCGUGUGAAAGCCCCCGGCUCAACUGGGGAGGGUCACGCGAUACUGUUCGACUCGAAGGCAGGAGAGGGAAGCAGAAUUCCCGGUGUAGUGGUGAAAUGCGUAGAUAUCGGGAGGAAUACCAGUGGCGAAGGCGGCUUCCUGGCCUGUUCUUGACGCUGAGGCGCGAAAGCUAGGGUAGCAAACGGG
rnacentral:rRNA from 1 species